rnacentral:rRNA from 1 species
UACAGAGGGGGCAAGCGUUAUUCGGAAUUAUUGGGCGUAAAGGGCGCGUAGGCGGCUUUGCAAGUGACGGGUGAAAUCCCUCGGCUUAACCGAGGAACUGCCUGUCAGACUGCAUGGCUUGAGACCAGGAGAGGUGAGUGGAAUUCCCAGUGUAGCGGUGAAAUGCGUAGAUAUUGGGAGGAACACCGGUGGCGAAGGCGGAUCUCUGGGCCUGUUCUGACGCUGAGGCGCGAAAGCUAGGGGAGCGAACAGG